CGGAAAAAUGCUCAGCCUGGUGAUUGGAUGUGGAGAGGACCAGGAGCCGGUUGAUGAAGGAAGAAGACGUGUAUGUCAAGCCGUAACCUGACUAAACUUUGGAGUCUAAAAGCUACUUAGUGAAUACACAGCCUGGUCACUGAUCAUGGAUGGAUCCAGGAGCCAGUUUAAGAUGGAAAAAGACACAUAUGUGGAACCAUCACCUGAGUAAAUGUUAAGGUCUGACAGCUACUUACUGAAGUCAUCAUACACAAUAGCCUUCUGCUCUAAAAAAAAAAAAAAAAAAUCUAAUUAAAAAAAAAA